GUCGUCGUCGGUCGUUCCGUUACUGUUACUCGUUGCAUUCACUCUCUCUUCUCAAUCGUUUUAUUGUUUAUUUAUUCGAGAAAUUACUUUAGGCAUCUCUUCCUCAUCUCCGGCAGCAGCGCAGUGAUGGGACGACGCGAUGUUCGCGCCGCGUCGAUCUUUCCUUAGUUCUGAAAGAAUUGCAUUCAUAAGCCCCCGCGUGCGGUGCGGUGUGUGGUGCGAAGCCACCCCCGGCCCGGUUUCCGAGAAGUUUUCGACUUUCAUAAACAUGUGAGUUUUUCAUUUUCUGCCUCUUUCGGUGUGAGGUGAGUAAUGCUGCGCUGUACCCGCAUCACCAGCAGCCGGCGAAGCGAGGCCUCCGCCGAAGAAGAGGACUCCGAUUAUGGGAUCGAAGCAGUCCACGAUGACGACGACGACGGUGGAUGCAAUUCGUAAACAUCACGUCUUCCUGCUGACCGCAGACAGGGUCUAUUGUGAAGGGGGGGGGGAGCAAAGGGAGGCUCUUGCUGGCAGCAUAACAACAACAACACGGCCCCGCAAACAUAAACAACCUGUCUGGAGAACGAUUUGCUUCGUUUCAAUCUUUAGGCAGAACUGCAUUAAAAUCUGCCAUCCACUGGUUGGAUGUAGUGGAUCUCCGGCCACUGUGGCAUUUGGGAAAACGAGUACGCUGAUACACUGGCAAACAUUGAACGGGACUGGCAAAUAUUGACCCCUCCAGAGAGGUGGCCUGAUAAACUGACGCGAGCAGGUUGUUUUGCCGGGGCUCCGCACGGGUCACAAAACACGACAACCGACCUAUGGAAAAACACUCUGGACGAAUGGAAGACCAUUAGCUUCUUGAAGGACAUCAAUCUGUUCAAAUAAAUCU